CGGACUACACAUGCAGUCGAGCGAGAACUUCGGUUCUAGCGGCGGACGGGUUAGUAACGCGUGGGAACGUGCCCUUCACUACGGAAUAGUCCCGGGAAACUGGGUUUAAUACCGUAUACGCCCUUCGGGGGAAAGAAUUUCGGUGAAGGAUCGGCCCGCGUUAGAUUAGAUAGUUGGUGGGGUAACGGCCUACCAAGUCUACGAUCUAUAGCUGGUUUUAGAGGAUGAUCAGCAACACUGGGACUGAGACACGGCCCAGACUCCUACGGGAGGCAGCAGUGGGGAAUCUUAGACAAUGGGCGCAAGCCUGAUCUAGCCAUGCCGCGUGAGUGAUGAAGGCCUUAGGGUCGUAAAGCUCUUUCGCCAGGGAUGAUAAUGACAGUACCUGGUAAAGAAACCCCGGCUAACUCCGUGCCAGCAGCCGCGGUAAUACGGAGGGGGUUAGCGUUGUUCGGAAUUACUGGGCGUAAAGCGCGCGUAGGCGGAUUGGAAAGUUGGGGGUGAAAUCCCAGGGCUCAACCCUGGAACUGCCUCCAAAACUAUCAGUCUAGAGUUCGAGAGAGGUGAGUGGAACUCCGAGUGUAGAGGUGAAAUUCGUAGAUAUUCGGAAGAACACCAGUGGCGAAGGCGGCUCACUGGCUCGAUACUGACGCUGAGGUGCGAAAGUGUGGGGAGCAAACAGGAUUAGAUACCCUGGUAGUCCACACCGU
rnacentral:rRNA from 1 species